UACCACUCUUUCUCAUUAAACCCCUAAUUUAAUCCUUCAAUCGAGAGCUAUGCCACCGAUCCGAAUCCCUCUGUUUUACACGUCAUAUAAACCCAACUCCGAAAUCUCUGCUCCUCACAAAAUUGACGAAAUCCUGCAAAAUCACAUCAGGCAAUUAUGUGUUAUAGUGUCUCAGUUGAUCUCUGGAGCCUCGGCUGUGUUUUCUCUGUGAUUCUUACCAGAAGACCACUUCCUAAAGGAAGAACCUAGAUUGAACAAUUUCACAGAAUUACCAGAUGAAGAAUUAUGGGAAAAGAACCAGCUUCAUUCUCAAAUUAAGAUAUUUAGACCACAACAUGAAUAUGAAUGUUGUUUGAGUAAAAGAUUUGAGUAGUUUCUGAAAAAGGCAGUUUCUCUUCAUGGAAUCUAUUAUCUAAUCCAGACAUACGAGGAUCUGCCUCUUCUGCUCUCAUGUGAAAGUACUUUAACACAAAGCCUUACGCUUUGACAUUACCUAAGUACCCUCCUAACAAAGAAAUGGAUUGCUAAGUACCGUGAAGAACUUCAAGAAGG